rnacentral:rRNA from 1 species
CCUACGGGAGUCAGCAGUGAGGAAUAUUGGUCAAUGGGCGCGAGCCUGAACCAGCCAAGUAGCGUGAAGGAUGACUGCCCUACGGGUUGUAAACUUCUUUUAUAAAGGAAUAAAGUGAGGCACGUGUGCCUUUUUGUAUGUACUUUAUGAAUAAGGAUCGGCUAACUCCGAGCCAGCAGCCGCUGUAAUACUGAGGCUCCGAGCGUUAUCCGGAUUUAUUGGGUUUAAAGGGAGCGUAGAUGGGUUGUUAAGUCAGUUGUGAAAGGUUGCGGCUCAACCGUAAAAUUGCAAUUGAUACUGGCAGUCUUGAGUACAGUUGAGGUAGGCGGAAUUCGGGGUGUAGCGGUGAAAUGCUUAGAUAGCACGAAGAACUCCGAUUGCGAAGGCAGCUUACUAAACUGCCACUGACAUUGAUGCUCGAAAGUGUGGGUAUCAAACAGGAUUAGAUACCCUGGUAGUC